UGAGGAAUAUUGGUCAAUGGACGCAAGUCUGAACCAGCCAUGCCGCGUGCAGGAAGAAGGUGCUAUGCAUUGUAAACUGCUUUUAUACGGGGUGAAUUAUCAGAUACGUGUAUCUGGUUGAAAGUACCGUAUGAAUAAGGAUCGGCUAACUCCGUGCCAGCAGCCGCGGUAAUACGGAGGAUCCGAGCGUUAUCCGGAUUUAUUGGGUUUAAAGGGUGCGUAGGCGGUCAGGUAAGUUAGAGGUGAAAGCUCGAUGCUCAACAUCGAAACUGCCUCUGAUACUGUCUGACUAGAGUGUAGUUGCGGAAGGCGGAAUGUGUGGUGUAGCGGUGAAAUGCUUAGAUAUCACACAGAACACCGAUUGCGAAGGCAGCUUUCCAAGCUAUUACUGACGCUGAGGCACGAAAGCGUGGGGAGCGAACAGGAUUAGAUACC
rnacentral:rRNA from 1 species